UACGAAGGGGGAGCUAGCGUUGCUCGGAUUGACUGGGCGUAAAGGGCGCGUAGGCGGUUCGUACAGUCAGACGUGAAAUUCCUGGGCUCAACCUGGGGGCUGCGUUUGAUACGUACGGACUUGAGUGCGGAAGAGGGUCGUGGAAUUCCCAGUGUAGAGGUGAAAUUCGUAGAUAUUGGGAAGAACACCGGUGGCGAAGGCGGCGACCUGGUCCGAUACUGACGCUGAGGCGCGAAAGCGUGGGGAGCAAACAGG
rnacentral:rRNA from 1 species